UCUGCUCGCACCGUCUAUCGAGAGAUAGCGUCUUAAGAUUGGUCCUCCCUCAUCGCUGCCACCGUAUCAGCUGCCAUCUAAAUCUUUUGCUGCCCCCUUUUCUUCCGUCUCAAGCUACCUAGCUUCUUUAAGCCAUUAGUUUCUUGUGUUGGUGAUCUUGUUUUUGCUCAUAAAUCAGAUAUGACUGUAUGUGUUCGAGAAAUUUGAAGAAGAACAGCUUUUCUGACGAAGGUUGUCCUGUCGGUGCAAGCACAUGGCGACGAAAAGGGAAAGGUCUUGCGAACUGUCACUUCUAUUCUAGGAAUCGAUGACGUAUAUACGGACACGCGCACUGAGAAAAUAACAGUAGAAGUGGUUGGAAAGAUGGAUGCGAUCGAUUUGGCGGUCAAACUGAGGGACCGCUGGCGCAGGACACAGUUGAUCAAAGUGUAUCCUGUCGAGGAAGAAGCAGCCUGCACAAGUAAGGGUGCUGAAGUAUGUGAAGAAAAAGUGAGAAGGGAACAAAGUGGUUGGACUGCGUGCACAUGUUAGGACUGCCAAAUAAAGAGCUUUUCUCCAUGUUUUUAGCAAAUGUGUUUUCAUUAUACUUGGAUGUGCUUCCUCCUUAAGCUUUUACCACUUCCUUCAUUGUUGUAUGUAUUAUCUG